ensembl:lncRNA
UUUUAAUUAUAUUUCAGUUUGUUUAUUUAGUAUAUAAUCAACAAGUUAAGUUUCUUAUGGUUUUAGUUUUAGUUUAGUUUUAAUCAUUUUGGCCUUAACCUCUCCAUCCAUCAAAAAAGAAUCCAGAAACAUUUUUCCAAUCUAUCUGCGUUUUCUUUGGUUAUGAGAUGAUUACAGGGAACAAGAGCAAUCUUUAAGUAAUUUAAGGUCAGAUUUACCACAGAAAACACUUGAUGAAGCGUCUUGGCAAAGUAUUUCAGAUAAUUACACCUAAUCUCUAUUCAGAUUUCCCCAAAAAUAUUUCAAAUCUGAAUCAGACAGGAACUCCUGAAUCCAUUAUAUCCCUAUAAGACUUGCAUCAGAAACUUCAUGUCAGAGCAGAAAUGCCUGGGGUUAACAGGCUGUAAUUUAAUAUCUUUGUGGUUUUUAUUUUCCAUUAGAUGGCGAGUUUUCCGGAAAGGGGUUUCCAGGCUGGAAAAUGUAAUGGUACGUUCGUUUAACACACACAUCAGUCCUGCUGUUUACACAUGACACAUGCAUUCUCUAAAGCCUAUAGGUUUAAAUGAAACAUAUAUUUACUUGCACAUAAAUAUUUCCAUGUAUGACUUUCAACACAAAAGGCAUAAAACAUUUUAUAUUGAACACAACUGUCAAUAAAACAUAAAAGCAUGACUUGUGCACUAUAUUUAUGAUGCUUUGUGACUGUUAUCUUCCCCUCAGAUCUCAUUCGUGAUGCUGCAUAUUUUAAUUCAACACAUGAAAAUCAAGUUCAGUGUGAUGUAAUUUUUAAAGCAGCGAAUGAGAUUCCAAAGCUUCGGUGGAGGGGAAGAUUUUCAGUCAAUAAUGCAUUGAUAGCAGCACACAGCUUUGAUGGAGCAUGAUGAUGACAGCCAUAUCACAGUCUGCUCAAUGAACUGUCUGUUAAAAUGAUGUCAGAAGUGACAGUUUGUACUGCUGAGAGUUUCUCAACAGCCAGAGAGCAGGACCGGACCUGUUCAGCUCAAUAGACACGAGAGGAGCUGAACACUUUAGAGGACAAUGAGCAUUUAAGGUCUGUUUGAAAAACACAAAUAACCUGCAGUCAUAUGCAGUACAGUCUGUCCUGAAUUACAUAACCAAACACCUCACGAGUCACGGUAACACUUGACAAUAUGAUUGAAUAUGUUAGCGUUAGAUACAGCAAGCUGACAUUUGAGUUUGCAUUUAAAUGUUUUCUUAAUGUUAAUUCAUUCAUGCAUUAUGAGCGAUCAUGGGCUAACAAUGGACAAUAGUGCAUUUAUGAAUUAACUUCAAAAAAUAGUUGACCCACAAAUGAAAAUUUGCUGAAAAUGCCCUCACCCUCAGGCCAUCCAAGAUUAGAAUGAGUUUGUUUCUUUAUCAGAUUUGGAGAAAUGUAGCAUUGCAACAGUAUCUCAGCAAUGGAUGCUCUACAGUGAAUGGGUGCCGUCAGAAUGAGAGUCCAAACAGCUGAUAAAAACAUCACAAUAAUCCACAAGUAAUCCACAGCACUCCAAUCCAACAGUUAACAUCUGGAGAAGUCUAUAAUCAACCUGAGGGUGAGCACAUUUUUAUUUUUGGGUGAACUAUUCCUUUAGUAAAUGCAUUAAAAACAUUGAUAAUUCAUGAUACCCAAUGCAUUAGUUAGGCAUUAGCUAAACUGAAGUUACUGAAAAAACUUUUUAAAAGUUUGCUUAAAUCUGACAAAUAUCAUUAAAUAAUAAUAAUAAUUAGAAUAAAUAGAAACAUAAGUGGGCCUUAUAGCAAAGCCAAGAAAACAGCAUUAAGAAAAUAAAUGAAUUAAAAACUAAAAAUAAACAAUCAGCCAUCAAAACAAACUCACUUGCCAUAACAAAAGCACGUUUUGUACAAAUGUGAAGUUUAUUCUUUUUAAAGAAGUGAAUAAUAUAUAAACUAUUGUCUAUAAAUAUAAAGGGCUUUUAAUAGUAUCACAAGCAGAAGUAUGAGAAAGAAGAAAAUAACAUUUUCUACCGGUGUAGAAAACCGUAAUACAGGCUUCAAUGCUAGUGUGAUUAAAUACAUCUCAGAUCCAUGCAAACGCAUCUCACAAGAACAGGAGUUUAAGAGCAGGCCUCUAUCUACCAGUGCUUUCUGUAAUCACCCUAAACAGAGAUUCCUUUGGGGAAACAAAAACAUUCAUUUGCAUGAGAUAAUCGCCAUAAACAAUCAAGAAUCAACAUUAUCUGAUGUUCAGUAAAGGGCAUCUUUUAAAAAAGCACAUGAUGACAUAACAAACCCUGAAGAAUUAUGAACAGGAUUAUGGGGAUUACUCUUAUGUAGUGCUUGAGCGAUGAGGGGGUUUUAUUAGCUGAUGUUGAUACCAAUAACCACAGUGCAGACCGAUAUACAACCGAUACAACCUAAAAAUCAGUUAAAAUGUCUGAAAACAAAUAGCAUUUUCCAUGCUGGUAGAUUUUGAAAAUGAUACUCAGGACAAGCCGACAUGAUUAUCGCUGCUGACCAUUUCAAAAGCGCCAAAUAUCGGCCGAUAUAUCGGUUUACCGUUACACAUAUGCAUCAGAAAGUCUACAUCUCAAUUUUCAAAUCACGUUCAUGGAUUAGUUUAUAUACCAACACAGGCAUUAAACUAUUUGAGUGAUUUGGGGUUUUUAAUAACUUAUGUUGAUACCGAUAACCGAGCACAAACCGAUAUUACUUAAAAAUUAGUGCUGUCAAAUGACUACUUGCGAUUAAUUGCAUCCAAAAUUGAGGUUUUUGUUUACAUAAUAUAUGUGUGUGUACUGUCAAAAACUUAUUUUGGAUGUGAUUAAUCACAAUUAAUUGUUUGACAGCACUAUUAAAAAUCAAUAAAAUUAUCUGAAAAUCCAAUUGCAUUAUUGAUCAAGAGGCCUGCUGGUAGAUUUUGGAAAUGAUACACAGGACAAGCAGAUGUGAUUAUCGCUGCUGAUCAUCUCAAAUCGGCCAAAUAUCGGCCGAUAUAUCGGUUUACCUCUACACAUAUGCAUCAGAAAGUCUACAUCCCCGUUUUCACAUCAUGGAUUAGUUACGAUACCAACACAGACAUUACAUUAUUUUAGAAGUGGAUUGCAAACACCGUCCAUCCUGUUCUAGCUGUAUGUUUAGAGGUACUUCUGUGCAAAAGAGCCAAAGGAGAACACAAACCCUUCAGAAACAUCACCAAAGUUCAUUACAGACUGAAGAAAAACAUGUAUACAUUUCUUUGAGUUAAACACAACUGCAGGCUUGACCCCAAUGCUGCUCUGAACUGAAAAAGGCACUUUACUUUACAUCUUAAAAAACAUCUUAAAACAGCCUGAGAUUGCUGCCGUCCAAGCCCAGGACAGGCCAGGAGACCAGCAAACCAGUUUAGGCUGGGUUAAGCACAUAUCAACCAUGUUGUUCUAGCUCCGAGUCUCAGCCUCCAUAAAACACUCCAGUCCUAUAAUUCAUCUGAUCUCACUCCUAAAGCUUUAAUUUAAAGCUCAAUUCUCCCCAUGAUAUGCAGCCUUAAGUGCUGGGUGCACAAUUCACACACAUUAUUAUUGUUAUUUCUGCAUUAUUUGCAUGUAAAAAGUUUGAAUAUUUGCCCGUGGAAAUACUGAUGUCGAUAAAAAGACACAGUUUUACAUAGAGGCAUAAAAAACAGAUCCCCACCCAGAAUAAUCCAAGAGAAAAGGCAUAAAUAAUCUCCAAAACGAUAUGGUUUGUCCCCAAAAAAAAAAAAAAAAAACGUUCAUUUGAUUAAACAAAGAACAUCCAAGUGAGAUUUAAAUACAAAUAUAUACUUAAAAAAAGUCACAAUGUUUAUGUACAACGCGAAGGGCGUCCUUUAAACAGUUGUUUUCUCCAUCGGAAAAAGUGAAUAAUAAAAAAGUUGUUAAAUCACACUGUUGUUUCUCCUUGUUUGCUGUUCGCCAGUCUCGUGUAGAACUUCCUCCACGAGUUAAGCGUCUUUCCAGACCAUAUCCAGAAUCCAGACGUGAUGCCCACGAUCAGGGUCAUCAGAUACUUGAUCAUGAACACUGUGAAAUCCGGGUUCAUCUGCGGGUUGUGCACGGGGCACGGCACCGCGUACGUCUUGCACGAUUGCGCGCUCCACGUCUGUUCCCACUGAUCCCGAAAGGCCUGUUCGUAGAAAUAACACGCGAUCACGAUGGUGGCUGGAACUGUGUAGAGGACGCUGAAGAUGCCUAUGCGCACCAUCAGCUUCUCCAGCUUCUCCGUUUUGGUGCCGUCGUGCUUCAUAAUGGUCCUGAUGCGGAACAGAGACACGAAGCCCGCCAGGAGGAACGAAGUACCGAUGAACAGAUAGACGAAGAGAGGCGCCAGGACGAAUCCGCGCAGCGCGUCAACGCUGUUGAUGCCCACAUAGCAGACGCCGCUGAGCACAUCUCCAUCCACUUGACCCACGGCGAGGAUGGUGAUGGUCUUGAUGGCUGGCACUGCCCACGCUGCUAAAUGGAAAUACUGCGAAUUCGCUUCAAUGGCCUCGUGACCCCAUUUCAUCCCGGCCGCGAGGAACCAAGUGAGCGCUAGAAUGACCCACCAGAUGGAGCUGGCCAUGCUGAAGAAGUACAACAUCAUGAACAGAAUGGUGCAACCUUCCUUUUUGGUGCCUUGCACCACUGUCCUGAACUCAUUAUCGAACUGCUCAUUGCAAACCACUUUGUCCUCCAGCAGAAAUCCGGCGAUGUAAGCGAUGGACACCAUCGUAUAACACCCGGAAAGGAAUAUAAUGGGUCUUUCCGGGUAACUAAAGCGCUUCAUGUCCACUAAAUAAGUCAGGACGGUGAAUAAAGUUGACGCGCAACACAAAAUCGACCAAAUCCCGAUCCAAAUGCGCGCAAACUUCUGCUCGUCCUCGCUGAAGUACAUCAUCCCGUAGAGUUUCUUGGGUUCGCACGGCGCGCCGCAGUUUUCCUCGCCCAUAAAGCGGUAGUUCAGAUACGGCGGGACUUUAAGCGAAGUUGGGCAUCUAAAACGCCCCUUCCUGGGAUGCUCGGGUGUAGCUUGGGUCACAUCUGGAGUCGGGUUGACCGGUGCGCUCCGCUCAGACGUGUUCUGCCCCACGCAAAGCUCUCCGCCGUGAACCGGGAACGACUCGCAGGCGAGACUCUCCGGCCACUGGAAACCGAAUUUAUUCAUAAGCGCCUCGCAGCCUUGGCGCGCGCGCUCGCACAGCGAACGGCACGGCGGCAGCGCCUGCUCCAGCACCGUGCAAACCGGCGCGUACAUGGAGCACAGGAAGAACUUAAGGUCCGGCGAGCACUGCACUUUAACGAGCGGGUAGAACUGGUGCACCUCCAGCCCCGCGUCCUCCUGGUUCGUGUGGCCGAGGAGGUUGGGCAUGAUGGUCUCGUUGUACGCGAUGUCCGUGCACAGAGGGAUGGUGAUGGGCUGGCAGAAGCCGUGCUCCGGAAUCGACAUGCCGCGGUCUCCGUACUGCGCGCUCGCUUCCAGUAUUCCAAAGGCGAGCAGGAAGAGCGCAGACGCACCGUGCGCGGCCAUAAUUUCCUUCUGCGGUCUGUCUCCUCACAGCCAGCUCGCCAGCCAGCGCUAGUCUUCCCCUCCAACUCCCUUUGUCGAUUUAUCCUGUCAAAUCAGUGCACGGAAACUUUUGGGAAAGUGCAGCGGCGCACAGGACGCGGAUCGCGGAACGCGUGAAGAAAACCACACAAGCGUCUGCGAGGCGAAUGAAGAGUCGCGCUGUGUCUUGUCAGAGUUUCUGUGAGCUGUUCAAACCUGUUUCCAGGCGCCCUGCUGUCUGCUGUUCAUAAGCGAAACGCGGGCGGGGCGUUACGGACAGAUGGCUCGCGUUAGGGAGCGUCGGGAUUUCGUUCUCCUGCAGUUCGUUUAACGUUCGCGCUUCGAGUUUAUAGAGCUGUUGAGCGGAACACAUUAUCUCUGCUGACUUUAGAGAUCAGAACAAUAAGUAAAAGACACGAUACUAGGUGUCAGGAUUUGUUUUGCGUUCUUUAAACGUUCGUUCUUAGACUUAAUAGUGUUGUUGAAUGGGACUCAUUCUAU